rnacentral:hammerhead_ribozyme from 1 species
AUCCAAUUGAUGGGUCCCAAAUGGGACGAAAUGCGCAUUCUGGAU